AUCCUGGCUCAGAACGAACGCUGGCGGCGUGGAUAAGACAUGCAAGUCGAACGAGAGAAUUGCUAGCUUGCUAAUAAUUCUCUAGUGGCGCACGGGUGAGUAACACGUGAGUAACCUGCCCCCGAGAGCGGGAUAGCCCUGGGAAACUGGGAUUAAUACCGCAUAGUAUCGAAAGAUUAAAGCAGCAAUGCGCUUGGGGAUGGGCUCGCGGCCUAUUAGUUAGUUGGUGAGGUAACGGCUCACCAAGGCGAUGACGGGUAGCCGGUCUGAGAGGAUGUCCGGCCACACUGGAACUGAGACACGGUCCAGACACCUACGGGUGGCAGCAGUCGAGAAUCAUUCACAAUGGGGGAAACCCUGAUGGUGCGACGCCGCGUGGGGGAAUGAAGGUCUUCGGAUUGUAAACCCCUGUCAUGUGGGAGCAAAUUAAAAAGAUAGUACCACAAGAGGAAGAGACGGCUAACUCUGUGCCAGCAGCCGCGGUAAUACAGAGGUCUCAAGCGUUGUUCGGAAUCACUGGGCGUAAA
rnacentral:rRNA from 1 species